rnacentral:rRNA from 1 species
GUGGGGAAUCUUGCGCAAUGGGCGAAAGCCUGACGCAGCCAUGCCGCGUGAAUGAUGAAGGUCUUAGGAUUGUAAAAUUCUUUCACCGGGGACGAUAAUGACGGUACCCGGAGAAGAAGCUCCGGCUAACUUCGUGCCAGCAGCCGCGGUAAUACGAAGGGGGCUAGCGUUGCUCGGAAUUACUGGGCGUAAAGGGCGCGUAGGCGGACAGUUUAGUCAGAGGUGAAAGCCCAGGGCUCAACCUUGGAAUUGCCUUUGAUACUGGCUGUCUUGAGUACGGGAGAGGUGAGUGGAGCUCCGAGUGUAGAGGUGAAAUUCGUAGAUAUUCGGAAGAACACCAGUGGCGAAGGCGACUCACUGGCCCGUUACUGACGCUGAGGCGCGAAAGCGUGGGGAGCAAACAGGAUUAGAUACCCCUGUAGUCC